AUAUAAUGCGAUAAAGUACCAUAUGAAACACCAAUAAUCAUCGCAUUAAGUACCAUGUCCCAAGUUAGGCGUAAUACAAAUUGUUACGGAAACAAACGGUUCAUUCCGAAUUCUAUUAGCAGGUCGCAAACUCCAAAUUAUGGGUGCGAAGCAGCUUUAAGCUGAAACGUUUAUUUCAAUUAGUUUUAGUGUAAUUAGGAUAGUAUUUAUUUAAAUUUACUUACAAAAUUCGGUCUCAGAACUGGUUUUGAAUGUAGUGGUAAUCGCCUUUCAUGUUCUUCCAAAAACCUGUGAUAUUAGUUCUAAGAUAGAAAUAGUUAUUUCACUUUUAGAACGACUUACCAACUUGCAUGAUUUGCUAAUAUGUUAAUUAUAAGUUUUAACUUUAGGUUCAAAUUCAAUUGUAAAUAUCUGUAAAUUACCAAUUUAAGCUUUAAGAUUGGAACACAUCCUAGCUUUCAGAACUAUGCACCUGCCUAUCUUCUCGGCUCACUUUCGACAAACAAACUCUCUAUUAUCUGCGCUAUUCUCUCCCUAUCAUCGUAUUUGACUAAGCAGUGUUGGCAGUAACACAAAUAUAUACCCAUCAGUGCCCACCUAGUGCAAUGUAUUUGAAAGUGAACGUUUUUUCCUAAUCAGAUUGACAUCGUAUCAUGUCACUGAUGAAUCGGAUGUCUAGUUCCAAUGAACAGUUUCCUGUGAUGGAUUUCAGCGUAUUAGCACUAAGUGGGUAUCAAAUAAAAAAUCAACAACCAAUUAUUUACACGUGAAACUCAUAAAACAGUGUUUCCCAAGCUAUGUCUCAAGUGCACGUAAUUUGUACAAUUUUUGAAAGUUUCAAACUUCUAUCACGCAAAAAGUGUAUAUGUAAGUUAUUUGAUUUGUGUCAUUUUUGUUAAUCUGAAAAUCGAAUUAUGUAAGCCAAGCACUUGAAACACAAGGCCAGUCAUAAAAGUAAAAAUAUGUACUAUGUUAAUAAAAUAUUACAUAGCUAAGAAUCCACAAUUGUCGCACUUUUCAAGAUAUAAGUGCUUUACAAUGCUUAGAAUGGUUAUUGGUGACAAGAUUAUAAAAUAAAUAUGAAUAUUCUAAUUGUUC